rnacentral:rRNA from 1 species
UACGUAGGGGGCAAGCGUUGUCCGGAAUCAUUGGGCGUAAAGAGCGCGUAGGCGGUCCGGUAAGUCCGCUCUGAAAGUCCGGGGCUCAACCCCGGGAGGCGGGCGGAUACUGCCGGGCUAGAGUACAGAAGGGGCAACUGGAAUUCUCGGUGUAGCGGUGAAAUGCGUAGAUAUCGAGAGGAACACCUGCGGCGAAGGCGGGAUGCUGGGCUGAUACUGACGCUGAGGCGCGAAAGCCAGGGGAGCGAACGGG